CUGAGCCUCCGGCCGGGCAGGAACACCACCGCGGCCCUAGACCGUCGCUCCCGCCGCUCCCCGCUCCCGCACCACGGCGACUCCACUCCCUCCCCGCGCCAUCGCCCCUGCUGCGGGUCUAGCUGCGCUGCUCCUUGGAGAUGCCUCCAAGACGACGGAGUCAAGGCCCUGCGAGCUCGACCGCUGUUCCACCCCCGCCCCCCUCUCCUGCUCGAUUCCAGGAGGACUGCGCCCAGAUGGUGAGAUUGAUCUCACCUCUCCCGCACGCGGCACUCAUGACGACGGGAAUCCCGGGGUGGGUGGAUCGGGCGAAGCGGAUUCACGCUGCUACAGCGGCGUGGAUCUGCCGGAUCCAGGAGCUCAAAGCAGCAGAUCAGGCGGUGGUGGCGGCGCGAGAUCCGGAAUCAGAGGCGGCAGCGACAAGGGUUGCGGAUGCCUGCCGCCUGAGAGCAGAAGCAGAAUAGAGGAAUUUGGCACGGCGCAUCUACGACGAAGCAACAACAGCGGAGAGGGCGCGGAUGCCCCCCUUCCCGCACUCCACGUCGACAGCAUAUGUGCAGUGGGCAAGGGCGGAGGCGAAAUCCGGCGAUCCCCGCAGGGCGAUGAGAUGGGAAGGCAUGCUGGGGGUGGUGCCCUCGGGUGCGCCGCUCCAAGGCAUCUCAUCCUGGCCACUGGCGUCAAUUCGAGAGUGAUUGCUCAGGCUGGAUUGAUUGCAGGUGGAUCAGAUUAUCGCCUACCGCGCUCGGAGAAGGAGAAGAUCUCUUGGUCAUCAACGGCGGCGAACUCUAGUAAUUACUGCACCUGUGAUGAUACUCCGAGCUGCUGCACUACUGUUCUUAUUCCCAGUCGUCGGCGUUCUACGUGGCCACCGCUGUUUGUUGUUCCUCCUCCGAUGAGGAUUGGUGUUCGUAGGAAUAGGAACAAAUCCAGCCUGCCCCAAUCUGGUGUUGGUGGCCGUCCGAUGUGUUCUAUUUCAUUCUCCCCCGAUGCCACGAGUGAUUCUGACUGCCAUGUGACCCAUAGACGCCGGAUAUCCCCAUCUCUGCCGCCGUUCGUGGUUCCGCGCGUUGACGGACAAAAAAUGGGGAUCAACGAGCAGGGCCCGGCUGUCUGCCUUAGAAGAUGGACUGGCCGUCCGAUUCCUCCUAAAGGGAUCGGGACCGUAGUUUCUCCCCCCACUACCUGUGGCAAAGAGAUUUAUAAUCCCCCCACCGACAGCUAUCCUGCGCCUCGUCCCUCUAGGGUUCAUCCUCGUGCGCUUCGCCGCCAUGACCACCAUAAGCUAGUUUGGGUUAGGCGUGAUCUCUUUGUUUCUGGUAAUUUUUCGGCUUCAGAUUGUUACCCUGUUGGCCCUUCAGACCGCAUCGUUGCUCCUAAGCAAUUCAGCUUCUCCCGUGAUUUUUGGUCAAGGAAGACUGGGAAAAUCCCCUUUGCUGCUGUAGUGAAGAAGAUGGCUGGAUCUGGGCAAAUUCCUGGACCUAGGGGAGGCAGAUCCGGGGGGGGGGGGGGGGGGGGGCAUGGUGGUGAUGCAAUUCGACCUCCAGCUGCUGUGAAUGCGCCUCCAGCCCGUGCUCCUACUGCCCCUGUCCCUGUCCCUGCUCCUGCCCUCAACCAACAGGGCCCUCCCAUGUCUAUCUUUGCCAAGUCCCCCAUUAUUCCUAUAGGGACCAAUCCUCCCAAUUUCAUUCAUCCUGGCAUGAAUCAAGUUUAUCCUGGAUUCCCUGCCAACAACUAUCAAUACUCUCAUAUGCCCCCUUGGAUGCAAUAGCCGCAGUUCCAAUUCCCCUAUAUGCAACAUAAUCUCCCAAUGCAAUUCCCUCAUCCUCUACCUUUGAGCUCUGGAAGUACGUCUGGAGGAAGUGGGCAAGUGGGUUCUGGAAAGAACAAAAAGAAGAACAGGACUAGUGCUAAAAAGCAAGCUAUGACUGCUGCUGGAGCUGUUGACAGUGCUACUGUUCAUACAGCCUCAGACUCUGAAGAAUAUAUGAUAGACCCUAAGUAUAUUGGUACUAUCUGCUACAACUGUGGCCUUCCUGGUCACUUUGUGGGCAUGUGCUCUGUUCCCAAAAUCUGCUUCAUCUGUAAAACCCCAGGCCACCAUAUGGACAUCUGCCCAAAGUGGUAUGAACCUUAUCCUGCAGCCCAAUAUUGGGGAAGUGCUAAUAGUGGCCUUGGUUUCUUUCAUAUUGAAGCUGGUGACAAGUGUGACAGCAGCUGGCUGAAUUUUGGCAAUGUUGGGCUGGUUGUUGUGGAAGAAGGCAAUAUCACUGCUGAAGAACUAGAAAGCUGCUUUAUUGGGAUGUGGAAAACUAACUGGCCUUGGUAGAUCAGACCUUGUGAUGAAACUCAAUUUCUAGUUAGAUUCCCUCCCAACAAAAAGAUUUCUGAUCUGGUUGCUUUUAAAUCUAUUAACCUGAAGAAGAAGGGAGUUACUAUAUCCUUCAAAGACUGGCAUGGUGACCUCCCUGCUUUUGAUUCUCUCAAUGAAGUUUGGGUUAAUAUCAUUGGCAUUCCUCCUGUCUGGUGCACCUGGCCAGUCAUCUCUCAAAUUGCUUCUUCCCUGGGUGUCAUUGUCAAUAUUGACUGGCAUGAAAUCUUCAGAAGUUUCUAUGAAGUUGUCAGGGUUCAAGUUGCUGUUAGAGAUCCACAGCUGAUUCCUAAGGAUAGGUUAUAUGAGAUCCAACAGGGACUGUAUCUGCUCAACUUUGAAGUUGAUGAUAAUACUGUUACUGAAUCUCCUAACCACAAACCUUCAGAUGGUCCUCUUGGUCCUUCUACUGGUACUGAAGAUCAUGGGAAUGCUGACAGGAAUGGAGAUGGUGAUAAUGACAGCGAUGAUGACAUACUUGGGGAGGAGAUGGAGCAAGAUGCUAGCAAUCAGAUUCCCAAGAAUCCUACUCCUGCCCCAAGUGGAUCUAAGUCUAGAACUGUCCAUCCUAUCCCUCAUACCCCUAUUGAGCAAGCUCAUUUAAUUUCUUCAAAUCACCUGGGAGCCCCUGUGACCAAGAGUUAUCUAGAUGCUGCUAAGAAAGCCAACUAUGAAGGCUGUGGCAACAGUUUGCUGGCUCAGUUUGAAGCAGUGAAGGGUAACUCCAAUGACAUUGGCCCCAAUCCCUUAACUUCAGCCUCAGCUAUCACUACCCUCUCUUGUCCUACUCCCAGACCUCAGGCCACUAGGACUGACCAAGGGAGAUGGGGCCCUGUUGUUGCCACUAGGAUGAGCAACAGGAUUAUAAGAGAUGGCAAGAAUGCUAUAGCUAAAGCCCAGGAAAUUAAGCAAGUUCAGAACCUAGAGGUAACCAAAGGUAAAACUACUACUAGCUCCAAUAAUUCCUUUGCUUGCCUUGAUAAUGAGCUUCUUCUGUAUAAUGCUGAUUUAUCUGGCUUAAAACUUGGGAAUGAUCCUAUUAGCUGCUUCAAUAAUAUUGAGUAUAUUAAGCAAAAAGAGCUUGAAAGGUUGUCUAAUUUUCAAAAAGACAACCCUGAGUUAUUUCCCCCUCCUGACACUGAUGUCAAUGGAGUUAAAUACUGCAAUACUAAGAGUGACACUGAGACAAACCCUUCCCCCCGCACUGGAAAUAACUUAGAAGUGGAGGAGGGUGAGAUUCCUUGGAUGGAAGUAUCCCAUCAAAGGUCCAAAAAGUGUCAUGGUAGGAGUAGAUUUUCUAAGAAUAUUUACUAAUGAUUGGUGCUUUCUGGAACAUUAGAGGCCUCAAUGGUCCUUCUAAAAACACCAGAGUUCAAGAGCUUGUAAAAGCUUGUUGCCCAGAUUUCAUUUGUUUGUCUGAAACCAAGAAAGCUGAUUUUACCAUUCCACAACUAGAAGCUAUUGAUACUAGAAGUGGAUUUGUGUGGAAUUGGCUCCCUGCUGUUGGUACUGCAUGAGGUAUUUUAAUUGGAGUUAAAGAUGAUAAGUUUGACAUCUUAAAUUGUGAUAUUCACACUUUCUGCAUCUCCUGUAUUUUAAAGUGCAAACACAAUGACACUAAAUGGAGAUUAAUCUCUGUAUAUGGUUCAACUUAUGAUGAGUUUAAACUUGAUUUCAUUAAUGAACUUGACAGUGUCCUUGCUGAGUGGUCUGGCCCCACCUUAGUUGGAGGGGAUUUUAAUUUUGUCAGGAAUACCAGUGAGAAGAAUACUGGCUCCAUUAACCAACACUGGGCUGACCUGUUCAAUGAUUGGAUCAAUAAGUUUGGUCUCAUUGAAAUUAAGAAUGCUGGUAGAAGGUAUACUUGGGCUAAUAACCAAGACAACCUUAUCAUGGCCACUCUAGAUAGGGUUUUUGUUUCUGUUGAUUGGGAGGACCUUUUCCCUGGGGCUUCCAUUAAAGCUCUCCCCAGAUUGGGCAGUGAUCACACACCCCUGGUGUUGAACACUUCCAAUGGACCUCCCUCUUUCCCUACUAAGUUUUUUAGGUUUGAGAAAUGGUGGCUAGAAAUUCCUGGCUUUGAUGAGGUUAUUCACAAAGCCUGGAAUACUAAAUGCAAUUCCACCAAGGCCAUUGAUAUUUGGCAAUUUAAGAUCAGAACCACCUGGAAAGCUGCUAAAGGAUGGUGUGCUAACUAUGAAGCAGACCAGAAUAGGACUAAGCAAGCUUUGGUGGUUGAGUAUAAUUUCUUAGAUGUUUUAGCUGAGUCUCAACCUUUAUCCCCUAACUCUAAAAAAAGAAUGAAAACCAUUGCAGGUGAUUUCAAUGAUAUAUGGAGGAAGGAGGAGAUCAAGGCUAGACAGAGAUCCAGGGAGAAGGAGAUACUGGAGGGAGAACUCAACACUGGGUACUUCAGAGCAGUGGCCAAUCAAAAAAGGAGGAGGAAACAGAUUGCUGUACUAGAAACCCCUUCAGGUCCUAUGGAAGACACUAAAGGCUAUCUGGCGAAAAACUGCGUCAAAUCUGUCUACAUGGGAGUGCCUGUCCUCAGAGUGUGCCAAGGACAGGGUGGUGUGGGCUGCGAAAGAACUGGAGAUGAAAGCAAGAAGCCCACCUCUGCUAAUGUGGCCAGAUCCUGGAUG